rnacentral:rRNA from 1 species
GAUGAUUUUGGAUCCGACUGAGUGGCGAACUGGUGAGUAAGCACGUGGGUAACCUGCCCAGAAGAAGGGGAUAACACCUGGAAACAGAUGCUAAUACCGUAUAACAACAAGAACCACAUGGUUCUUGUUUUGAAAGCUGGCCUUUGUGCUAGUGCUUCUGGAUGGACCCGCGGCGUAUUAGCUAGUUGGUGAGAUAAUAGCUCACCAAGGCAAUGAUACGUAGCAGACCUGAGAGGGUAAUCUGCCACAAUGGGACUGAGACACGGCCCAUCACUCCUACGGGAGGCAGCAGUAGGGAAUCUUUCCACAAUGGACGAAAGUCUGAUGGGAGCAACGCCGCGUGAGUGAAGAAGGGUUUCGGCUCGUAAAAACUCUGUUUGUUAGAGAAGAACAGCCGUGAGAGUAACUGCUCACGGUAUGACGGUAUCUAACCAGAAAGUCACGGCUAACUACGUGCCCAGCAGCCGCGGUAAUACGUAGGUGGCAAACGUUUGUCCGGAUUUAUUGGGCGUAAAGGGAGCGCAGGCGGUUUAUUAAGUCUGAUGUGAAAGCCUUCGGCUUAACCGGAGAAGUGCAUCGGAAACUGAUAAACUUAAGUGCAGAAAAGGAUAGUGGAACUUCAUGUGUAGCGGUGAAAUGCGUAGAUAUAUGAAGG